rnacentral:rRNA from 1 species
AGUGAACGCUGGCGGUAGGCCUAACACAUGCAAGUCGAACGGCAGCACAGUAGAGGUUUGCCUUACGGGGGGGGGGGGGGGGGAGGGGGGAGGAAAAUACCGGAACCUUUUUUUUGGGGGGGGUUAAGGAAGGGAACUUUACGCCAUUACCGAAUCGACCUAAGGGUGGAAGGAGGGGGACCUUGGAACCUGGGGGGUGUGAAGGGGCGAUGUCGGAUUUGCUUGGUGGGGGGGUAAAGGCCCACCCAGGCGACGAUCCGUAGCUGGGCUGAGGGGAUGAUCGGCCACACUGGAGCUGAGACACGGUCCAGACUCCUACGGGAGGCAGCAGUGGGGAAUAUUGGACAAUGGGCGCAAGCCUGAUCCAGCCAUACCGCGUGGGUGAAGAAGGCCUUCGGGUUGUAAAGCCCUUUUGUUGGGAAAGAAAAGCAGCAGGUUAAUACCCCGCUGUUCUGACGGUGCCCAAAGAAUAAGCACCGGCUAACUUCGUG